rnacentral:sRNA from 1 species
UUAUCCUAACCGUUGGACUACAGACGCUGAACGAGUGACACAUUGA